UUUUUGGCGAGUUUGAUCCUGGCUCAGGAUGAACGCUGGCGGCGUGCUUUACCAAUGUGAGUCGAACGGUACGGGUGAAGCUUC
rnacentral:rRNA from 1 species